AGUUCACACAUGAAAAUGGUUUUUCCCCAGUGUGAAUCCUCAUGUGAGCAUCAAAAACAGAUUUGAAAGGGAAACGUUUUUCACAGAUGACACAUAAGAAAAUCUUGCAUCUUUCCUGAUUCUGGUUCUCAGCUUCACCAGCUUCCUGGAAGAUGUCUUGGUUCCUGUUUGGUUCCGAUUCCGUUUGGUUUGUUUGCUCAUCAACAGGAACCACCAUGCAGAGGUUCAAACUCCUCCUGGUCCAGAGUGGAUCUUCUCUCUUGGUUAAACUGCAGGGAACCUGGAGAAGAAAACAGAGAAAAAGAGUUAUUGUUAACUUUAUUGAAGUAAGUAGGAGAAAUCUUUCAUCGUUUAAAACAGAAAUCAACAAAAAAAAAA